GAGAGAGAGAGAGAGAGAGAGAGAGAGAGAGAGAGAGAGAGAGAGAGAGAGAGAGAGAGAGAUACAGAAUACGCGUUUUUCAUUUUAUUUUUUCUCCCUUCUCUCUCUCUCCUUUUUUUUCUUUCCUUUUUCUUUUUUUU
rnacentral:pre_miRNA from 1 species